rnacentral:rRNA from 1 species
AUUGAACGCUGGCGGCAGGCCUAACACAUGCAAGUCGAACGAGUGGCGGACGGGUGAGUAAUGUCUGGGAAACUGCCUGAUGGAGGGGGAUAACUACUGGAAACGGUAGCUAAUACCGCAUACCAUCAGAUGUUCCCAGAUGGGAUUAGCUUGUUGGUGGGGUAACGGCUCACCAAGGCGGCGCUCCCUAGCUGGUCUGAGAGGAUGACCAGCCACACUGGAACUGAGACACGGUCCAGACUCCUACGGGAGGCACAAGUGGGGAAUAUGUCACAAUGGGCGCAAGCCUGACGAAGCAAGGCCGCGUGUAUGAAGAAGGCUUUCGGGUUGUAAAGUACUUUCAGCGGGGAGGCGUUACCCGCAGAAGAAGCACCGGCUAACUCCGUGCCAGCAGCCGCGGUAAUUC